UGCUUUGGUUUAAGGGUUGAAGAAACACUCUUCAAACGGUCAAAAACUCAAAAUCGAAACGAGUGAUAUAACUCUGCGUAAGCCUUGGAGACCAAGAGUCUUUUAAAUUCACAAAAGUCUCAGUUUUGGAUUUCGAAUUCUGACCGUUGGGCUCUCAGACGCUCUACCAAAUUUUGACAUCUCCAUCUCCGGCGAAAUAAUUGAGAAGCGUUGAAGCAGAAAAGUUAGAUCGUCGAGCCUCCGUUGUAACCGAUCUCAGCGAAGGGGAAAGAAACGAAGUCGUUGGAGAACGAUCUAGUGGAGUAGGAGGCGAUGUUGAAGAAGAUGAAGAACGAGAAGCAGAAGACGGUGGAUUUUCUGACGGAGUAAAGACGAGAUCAUGCGGAAGAAGAGGAAGGUAAAGUCACGAUCGUGUUCAACGCUAUAACAAUACUUUCUGGGUUCUUCUUUAUAUGUUCGGAGGUCAAUUCGCGAUUCGUUUUAAAGGGGUUAACAUCGAUCGAUAGAUGCAAAAUCGAGGAUUCAUUAUCUUCAGAGGAUGAUCAGAGCUUUGACACUGGUGGUUAAGCCACUACGCAGAGAGUUCAAAUCUUGAUUUCACUAAACGAAGUGACCGAGGAGAUAGGUUUUAGUUUCUGCUAGUGAGACGGACUGAGAUCUUUGGCAUGUGGAGGUAUAGAGGGAGUUGGCCAAACUGGAAAGUGAGUUGAGAAGUGCUGGCUAGGCUUCGGUCGUUUCCGGCACAACUGGAAGGACCUCACCAUGUUAAGAUCUUAGGAAAUAAGUUGUACCAUGAACUCACUAUUAUGACUAUCUUCUUUGCUAAAGAAAGAGGUAGUCCAACUACACGACAAGUGGAGCAAGCCGCACCAGAAAAAGAGACACUAUCAACAUACCCAGUAGAGUAAAAUGUUCCGAUGGAACAUCAAUACCUCAAGCUGAGGGUGUGCAUUACAGGGGACUCUGAGAAUACAACACAAACUAAGCUCACUGCUCUAGAAUAUCUCCACGAAAUCCUACAUUAGAAUGUGAGAUAAUGAUUUCAGGAUAGAAUUUGCAUCAAGUAAGAUUGCUAUGCGGGUCAGAGCAGAGAGGCCUUCAUGGUAUCCGGCUGUUAUCAGUGGACCACUCUAUCAUCCAUGACCAGUGCUUCUGUGGUUUUGGAUUACGUUAUGUCUUGAGAAGUAAGGAAUUCCUCCAGAGCAUAUAUCUCUUGUGCAUUCUCAAGUGUCUUUGAAUAUUACAGGAAGUAAAUAUACGGUAUGCGUAUAGUAUCAAAGCACUAAACAUGUAGUUUUACCAAGGCUCACUAGCCCGAACAGAACUAGAAGUUGAAAAAUUUAGAAGUUGUAUCAGAAAUACAUGAAGUUGGACGGUAAUCUGUCUUCUCAUUGACAGAAGAACUUGUUUACUACAAACAACAGGCUGGUGAACUUAUAGCCAAGCUUGAUCUUGAUGAUCCUUCUGCUGAAAGAAAGGAAGCUUCGAAACAUAAUUGCCGGCUAUGAACAUAACAUAUAUAAGAUAAACACAAUUUCUUUUUCUAAUUUGAUCAAAAUUUCUAUUAGAAAAUUUGACUUUGAAACAUAUCUUCCAGGUUGUUUAAGAGAGACUUAAUCGCCUUGAUAUCUAUAAACUCCUAUUUUUAGUGGCAAGAGUACGUUGCAGUUUUGGCGACACGACUACCUAAAGAUCUCAGGAACAUAUAUGUUUUGCAUCAGGUCAUGAGAGAUAAAAACCGCUCACUGUUCUAUUCACAAAUUGAAGGACAUUUAUGUUCAUGAUCUUUCCCAGAGAAGAACAUAAAUUAUUUUCAGAAAUGGCGGGUGAAGUUUCAGUAACUAGGACAUGUUCAGCUCCUCUUUCUUCUGGUGGGCUUGGUUGUCUUCCAGUCCCAUACAUUUUUCAGCUCAUCAUUAUUGGAAACAAAGCUGACAAGGAAGGAACAAAUGGAAGCAGUGGCAAUCUUGUUGAUGGGUUGAGAAGCAAUGUCUAAAUCCCCACAAUCUAGUUGAUGGGUUGUUGGUGGUCUCAUAAUGUUGGACGAGGACCAAGAUUCUUAAAGAGGAAGAAGUGAGUUUUAGCCUCUGUCCUGCAGGUGCAUGUGUAAUGAGUUGUAUUAUUCAGCAAGAUGAAGUAUGAACACCAUUGAGACAUUAUCCAUCCGCCAAUGAAGAAGAGCCAAUAAAGCUGGUAGAACUUCAAUAAAGCUGGACAGAACAGAGGAGAAUGCUCCUCAAAUAAAAUGACAAGCAAAACAUACUGUCAUGUAGGCAGAUGGAGGAAAUGGAACAGAAGUUCUUGGCCUUAAGUUCAACAAAGAGUUUCAAGGACACAACGAUGAACACGAUACAAGACUAUUCAGACACACCCUUGAAGUGGAGAAUAAUAGAGCUUUUACAUGUGUGUAACGUCUCUAAUUGCUCUUAACAUCUACUCCGUGAUUCUAUAGAGAGAAGAUCAGAAAGAUGGUUUGUACUUGGAAGUAGACAGCAGACUCAACUACAUCAGAGAAUCCUUGGCCCAAAAUAGCAACAAUGGACCCCCCUGACACUAAUCUCCAGUUUUUCGCAGACUACAACUCAAAGCUUUUUGAAUCAAGUAAUUAUAUAAGAAGACGGGCAAGCUAUUAAGUUGUUGGAUGAUAUAUUGUUAGAAGAAUAUAUAAAAAGGAUGAAUGAUGAAGAA